rnacentral:rRNA from 1 species
AACUUACCAGGUCAAGACAUGGGCGUGAUUGACAGGCUAAUGACUUUUCUCGAUUCCAUGGAUGGUGGUGCAUGGUCGCACUUAGUUGGUGCAGUGAUUUGUCAGGUUUAUUCCGGUAACGAACGAGACCUCGGCCUUGUAAAUAGCUAUGCUGCUUACAGGGACAUUGGCGGCUACGCCAAGGAAGCUCGAGGCAAUUGCAGAUCUGGAAUGCCCUUAGAUGUCCUGGGUCGCACGCGUGCUACAAUGACGCCACGAACGAGCUUGCGUGAUGAAAGUUACGCAUAAUCAGCAGUCGGCGUCUUAAGGGAUAGUCUCUUGUAACUGUGGGACUCCAACUAGGAAUGUCUCGUAAGCACAAGUCAACAUCUUGUGUUGAUUACGUCCCUGCUCUUUGUACACACCGCCCGUCGCUCCUACCGAUCGAGUGUUUAGGUGAAUUUGAUGGACGUAAGGAAGUCAAAUAAACCUGAGCACUAGAGAAGAGAAGUCGAGCAUCC